GUUCAGCUGCUGUGAGGAAGGAAAUUUCAGAUGAAACUGAUUGUGAGACAGGCCGUACUAAAGCAAUCUCAAGUGUUCCUAUUUAUCUCAGUAUAUAUUCUCCUAAUGUUGUGAACUUGACAUUGAUUGAUCUUCCUGGACUUACUAAAGUUGCUGUCUAGGGUCAACCAGAAAGCAUUGUUCAUGACAUUGAAAACAUGGUUCGCUCUUACAUUGAGAAGAAGUGGCAAUAUGAACGCAUCGAUGGAAAAGUUGGUGGAGCUGAAAGACAAAUUCAAAUUGAUAGAUUUAAUGCUAAGAAUUCUUCCAGAUUCUGUUUUCCUGCUGUCAACUAGGGCUCUGGGGGGUUUUAGGAAUUAACCUUGCUACUGCUAUAUACAGUGAUUAUAUAUGACAGGUUCCAAUAAUGGUUGUUAUGAAGGCCAUGGGAAUGGAGAGUGAUCAAGUGGUUGUGCAGAUGGUUGGAAGAGAUCCUCGGUAUAGUGCUCUGCUUUUGCCUUCCAUUGGGAUAAUACAAAUCACAAAAUGCUCCGG